rnacentral:rRNA from 1 species
UACGAAGGGGGCUAGCGUUGUUCGGAUUUACUGGGCGUAAAGCGCACGUAGGCGGAUCGUUAAGUCAGGGGUGAAAUCCUGGAGCUCAACUCCAGAACUGCCUUUGAUACUGGCGAUCUUGAGUCCGAAAGAGGUGAGUGGAACUCCUAGUGUAGAGGUGGAAUUCGUAGAUAUUAGGAAGAACACCAGUGGCGAAGGCGGCUCACUGGUCCGGUACUGACGCUGAGGUGCGAAAGCGUGGGGAGCAAACAGG